GAUGAACGCUGGCGGCGUGCCUAAUACAUGCAAGUCGAACGGACAGACGAGGAGUUUGCUCCGCUGACGUUUGCCGAGCGCGUGAGUGACACAUGUGGAUAACCCCCCUAUCAGAGUGGGAUCACUUCGAGACAGCGGAGCUAACACCGGAUAAUAUCUUGAACCGCAUGGUUCAAUAGUGAAAUACGGUUUUGCUGUCACUUAUAGAUGGAUCCGCGCCGCAUUAGCUAGUUGGUAAGGUAAAGGCUUACCAAGGCUACGAUGCGUAGCCGACCUGAGAGGGUGAUCGGCCACACUGGAACUGAGACACGGUCCAGACUCCUACGGGAGGCAGCAGUAGGGAAUCUUGCGCAAUGGGCGAAAGCCUGACGGAGCAACGCCGCGUGAGUGAUGAAGGUCUUCGGAUCGUAAAGCUCUGUUAUGAGGGAAGAACAAAUGUGUAAUGAACCGUGCAGGGCGUGACGGUACCGAAUCAAAAAGCCACGGCUAACUACGUG
rnacentral:rRNA from 1 species